AAAGUGAUAGGCAAGAAAUAGAUUUAUUAAGACAGGGCAUUUGUCAGAGGUGCAAGCUGUCAGGCAUGGAAGCUCUGCCCUGAGGAUCUGGUGGGCUACAGUUUUAUCACCCAGGGAAGUGGGGGUCAGAAAAGACCUCUUCCUUUCUGGGAGCAGAAGCUCCUUCUUGGUAUUCAGUAAGGUGUGUAUUCAAAUCUUCAGAAGGGUGGUCUUCAAACUCUGGCUCUUGGUCUGAAUCUGAAUGCAGUCCUCAUCCCAUGCCCCACCCAAUGACCUGAGACAAUUCUCACACCUCCACGAGUCAAGCAAGGCUGCCUUAUUCUGACAGCUUUUUUGAACAAUUUAUGAACUUAUGGUGAUCUCCCAACAUCCCCUAGAUUCCCUUCUCUAUCCAUGAUCCUUUUUUGGGACUUCUACAACCAUUUGUACCUACUCCAUCCCUAUCACUUCUGCUUAGCUCUUUAUACAAGGUAAGGAUUACCAUCUAGACUUAUGGGUGAAAAAACUGAGGCUCAAGGCUCAACUCAGAGGUUAUUUUUCUCAUAACCACACAGCUCAAAAUAGGUAAUGAAGGUGAGAUUCAAAUGUAGGUAUUUCUUUUACUCCGAGCUUUCCUCCUCCAUUACCUAUCUUCCAUUUAGGAGUAAUCCAUGAGGAGCUACUCUGAAAAGAAGCCCUUAGAAGCUUUAGAGUCUGGUUUCAAUUUUGUCACUGGGCCAAGUGUUCUAAUAUUAUUUUGGGAGAGAAGGGCAGGGGUUGAGCCGUGAGAACUCUGUUUCCCCAUCUAUAAAGUCAAAAUAAUGGAGCCAUUUUCCUUUGAGUUCUUUCUGUUCUAAUAUUCUGGGAUAUUGCCAUACACCUGGAUACAAAAGAUGGAAAUGACUUGAGAUUUGCUUGAACUUUGGGCUGAUCAACUUUUCUUUGCCAUUCCUUAGUCCUGCUCUUAUUCUCAAUUUUAAAUAAUGGGUUUAACAGGAAUAUCACCUCAGAGCAGUUGAAGAGACAUUUCCAGAGCCAGAUCCUGUCAAUAAUCUCAUCUAAUUCCAUUAGAUCCACUUCUAUCCCCUGCUGUUCUGAUAUUUAUAACCCCCCAGUUUUCCUAACAGAUUCAGCCUUCAGUCAUUCCAAGACCAUUUCACACCCUGCUGGUGUUUAUCUGACUCAAAAGAUCAAUGCAUAGACCUUCUUUAUUCCUCCAAGUGAAUUCAAACACUAGCCCUCCUGAUCAGAUAACAGGCAAUCUGUAUCUUGUCACUCUCUAUUCCUGCACUCUCAAUCAAGCUCCCUCUCAGGACUCAGUGAUAUUAAUUACAGUCUCUAAUUUAAAAGGGGUUUCUGCCUAAAGGUCUCUGUGCAAAGAAAAGGUUUCCUUUUUUAAGAAGGAAGAGCCACUCCCGGUUAAGUUUUAGAGCAAAGGAGUGGAUAUUUGCACUGUUGGUCCAGCCAGUACCAAGAGGGAUAUGCAGGAGUUAUGAACAAAGAUGCUGCCUGCACUGGAAGGGAAUCUACAGAUCCAGGGUUUGCCUAAAUGUCUUCUCAGACCUUUUCCACCACAAGUAACUUUCUUGUCCUCUAAGCAUUCAGAACAUUUCUGUUAUUACCACAUCCCUUGCCCAUCCUCAUCUUCUUAAAUGAUAUAAUGGUGGGUGGGAUUGAAACAGAUAUCUUUGAGUCAAGUCACUGCUCUGUCCUCCUUUUAUUAUGUAACUUUCAACCAUUCACUCAACCUCUAUGAAUCUGAAAUUGACCACACUAAUUGCCUGAACCCAGCCAGAACCCAGAUUGUGACUUGAACCCAUGCCAGGACUCCAACCCAGUCUAAACCCAGAUUGGGACUUGAACCCACAUACCAGGGUUUAAACCAGUCUAAAACCAGAUUUGGACUUAAAUGCACAGUUUUAAAUUAGAAUAACUCACCCAGUGUCUGGACUUUAUGCUUUUGCGCAGAAGGAAUUCAGCAAGAAACAAAGUGAUAGGCACGAAAUAGAUUUAUUAAGACAGGAGACUUGAGAGAAGUGCAAGCAGACAGACAAUGAGGUUCUGUCUCCAGGAUUAGGUGGGCUACAGUUUUAUGAUCCAAGGGGAGUGGGGGAGGGAAAAUAUUGCCUCUUCCUCUUUUUUCAAGUAGUAGCUUCUCCUUGAUAUCCACUAAGAGAGUAUUUGACCCUAUAAGGUCAGGCUAGGACUGUCAUGGUGCUUCUUCAAAUCAGCAGAAGGGUGGUCCUCAAACUCCUGCCCUUGGUCUGAACCUGUGAAUGCAGGCCUCACCCCAUCCCCCAUCCAAUGACCUGAGGCAUAUCUCAUGCUUCCACUAGUUAAGCAAGUCUGCCUCUUUCUAAUGGCCUUCUUGAACAAGUAUUAAUUUGCAGUGGUCUCCCAAAGUCCCCUAGGUUUCACUCUCUAUCUAUGGUCCCUUAUUGGGACUUCUACAACUACCCGUGCCUACUCCAUCCCUAUCAAGUCUUCAUGGUCUCUCAUGUUUAAAAGGCAGAUGACAAAAAUUCUAAGUUCUUGGGCUGUGGUGAAUAUAAUGUUAAACUCAUGUUUAUUUUCUCAUAUAUUUUAAAACUUCACUGGGGUCAUGGACUAUUUAUCAUGCAUUAUUCUUCCUCAGAGUUCAAAUGCAAUGCCUUCUUCAAAGGAUAAGUUCACUAUAGCUAUGGCUCAGAAGGAUAUCUGGUGUUCUCAUUUUAAACCUAAGCUAGGUGGUGCAUUGUAAACCACUGGACUAUUUAGCCUUUUCUAUAGCCAAGAACGAAUUUAAGUAAAAUAUAAGGGAGAUAACACUUUAUUUUUUUUCUUUUUUUAAAAAUCAAUUUGUCCUUCUUCUUGGCACUUUCUCUUCUAGUUUCUUCAUUUCUUCCUAAUCUUUCCAGGGAAACCCACAGAGAUGUCACCCUGCCCUCAACCUCCUGCAUCUUUCUACCUAUCAAAUAAGGAGUUUUCUACAUAGCAAAAUAGAAGGCAUGUUAGGACGUGGAAGGUGGCAAAAUGCUUCACAUAAAAGGGUUAAUAGACAGUAGUUAAAAAAAAUUGUUAUCUCUAAAUGAAUGAAAAUAAAUUACUAAAGUCUUUACCCAAAGGGUAAUCAGAGAUCUUUACUUUCACAUAGAUUAGCUCAUUUAAUUCUCAUAAAAAUCUAUGAGAAGCUUCCAGGUCCAUAGGAUAAUGGCAGCAGCCUAAAUUAGAAUCUCUCCACAAGGAAUCAAAACAAACAAACAAACAAACAAACAAAAAAUACAGAUGAAUAAGGAGAGCAAAUAAAAUCACCCAUAUCUUGCCUUCGAUGUAACAUAAAGACGAAGAACUUUACAAACUUUAAUUUACAACUAAUUGAGAACAUAAGUGGAGAAAGCAGAGAAGAGAGGAGAAUGAGGCAGAGCAGAAUCAAAGGCUAUCAUUUAAAGCUGACAGGAAGAAUAGUCAAAACAUGUAAGGAAAAAAUAGACUCUGGCUAUUGUAUAAAGGCAUUAGUAUGAAGUAAAAACUUGGCCUUCCUAAAUAACAAAAGAAACACAAAACAAAACAGGAUUUAAAAGGAGAAAGAGAGGAGUUCCUGUUGUGGCUCAACAGUUAAUGAACUUGACUGGCAUCCAUAAGGAUGCAGGUUUGAUCCCUGGCCUCACUCAGUGGGUUAAGGAUCUGGCAUCUCUGUGAGCUGUGGUGUAGGUCACAGACAUGACUUGGAUCCUGCGUUGCUGUGGCUCUGGCGUAGGUAAGCAGCUACAGCUCAGAUUGAACCCCUAGCCUGGGAACUUCCAUGUGCCGCAGGUGUGGCCCUAGAAAGAAAGACAAAAAAAAAUAAAUAAAAAGAGAAAGAGACAGAAAAAAGGGAUCACACAAGUCAAGUCACUUUAUAGUGAAACUGUAUGAUGAACACAGUAAAAUAACGAUAGAGCUGAAAUGAAAUAUAUUGUAAUCCAUAAAUGUAAAUAAGCUUAACUCGUGUUAAAAUAAAACACUUUCAAAUUGGCUUACAAAGCAAAACCAGUAUACAGGAGACACAACUAAAACCAGCUAGUGCAGCAAGUUGAAAAAUGAAGAAUUAAACAAAGGGAAAUGCAAAGAAAAUAAAAGCUGGGCUAUGACUGCAUAUCUGAUAAGGUAGAAUCCAGGACAAAAAGAGAUAAGACAAAGAAGAAAACUUUGUAAAUGCAAAGGCCACAGUUCAUGGAAAAGAUAAGAUAAAAACUUUCUGCAUAUCAGCCACUUUUCUAAAGCAGAAACCACAGGAAAUGCAAGGAGACAGAAACACAAACAUUAGGAGACUUUGGCACAGCCUGCUCAGACUGCGAAAGGUAAAAUGAAUACAAGUAAGGAUAAAGAGAAUACAAGCAACAUAGUAAGAUGGACUUAUCUGUACUCUGAAAAUAGAGAAUAUUAUUUCAUAAUGAAAAUACACCAAUUCUCCAUAUAUUGGGUCACAAAAAACUCAAUAAAUUACCCAAAGUAGUAAUAAUAGAAAAGAUUCCCUUAUUAUUAUGCAAAAAACUCAAUUCGAAUGAAGAAACGUAAACCAAUAUCAUAGACAUUAUAAAAAAUAAUGAUUAAAAGGAUUAUGUAUCAGAAUCUAUAUUGCUAAUCUAUACAAUUCAAGCAGUGAUCAGAAGAAAUUUCAUAGUGUUAAAUAUAUGUGUCAAUAAAAAUGAACAAUGAAAACAUGAAUUAAAUAUUCAAUCACUGAAUCUGGAAAACAGAAUGAUUCAGUUAAUGAAAAGAACAAAAGAGAAAUAAGAAUAAAAGCAAAAAUUAAUGAAGUAGAAAAGAGAAAAAUACACAUACCAGUAAGUCAAUAUUUGGUUAAAAAACAAUCACUUGCUAAUCUAAUCAAUAAAAAAUUAAGAUUGUUUAUGGGAUAAAGGUGGGAGAAAGAAACACAAACACACAAGAUAAAAAAUGACAGAGGAAAGUAACCAUUGGAACAAAGGAGAUUAAAAGAUUCAAAGGUGAACAAUUCUCUUGGAAAACAUACUCUGCCAAAACUGACUCCAGUAAAAGAAAAAAAAAAA
ensembl:lncRNA